rnacentral:rRNA from 1 species
GUGUCAGCCGCCGCGGUAAUACGUAGGGAGCAAGCGUUGUCCGGAUUUACUGGGUGUAAAGGGUGCGUAGGCGGCUCUGCAAGUCAGGCGUGAAAACCAUGGGCUUAACCCAUGGACUGCGUUUGAAACUGUGGAGCUUGAGUGAAGUAGAGGUAGGCGGAAUUCCCGGUGUAGCGGUGCAAUGCGUAGAGAUCGGGAGGAACACCAGUGGCGAAGGCGGCUUACUGUGCUUUAAC